CUUGUUUUUGCUCCCAUAACUGAUUCUGCUUCAAAUCAUGGCCUAAUCCCAACAAUUAUCUAUGGGUGAGCAAUUUUGACAGAGUAAGAAUCUUGCAACUCUAACCAAGCUAUGAUAUGUUAACCAACCUCACUCUGUUACAGUUUGAAUUUGUACUUUUAUUUAUAAGUAGCAGAUGUGCUUGGUCUUGGAAAUUAUGUCACUGAUGAUGAUGAUGAUGAUGAUGAUGAAAUUCAUAUCUCUAGCUUGCCAAAUUCCAGGAAUAAAAAGCUUCAGCAUUCAAAUUUUGAAAAUUCUUCAGAAGACAAGCAUGAUGUUGGUGCAAAUGGCAGUUUGGUAGCCCUUGUUGCAGAAAGGUGCACACAAGACGCAACUUGUCAUGCUCCCCGUCACCUGGCAAGUCUAGAAGUAGAAGAAGUUAAGCAAAUGGACUCACAACAAAGACAAGUGCACAAAGGAUGAUGAAUUGAAGAAUGGAGCAAGUUUCAUGCAUGGUUUACUUUUGUGUAUCUUGUAAUGUUUAUGUUUUUCAUUUUUUAAGUAAAAAUUGUUCAAGAUUAUAAAACUUUAUUAUGUUAUGCUUUCAAACUUAAGUUAGAACUAAGAUCUCAUGAAGUAGACACAUUCAUGGUUUGAAUUAGUUAUUCUUUAAUGUAAUACUUAUGGUUUAUCAAUCUAUUGAGAAUUACAUUUUAUGAUUAA